GAUGAACGCUGGCGGCGUGCCUAAUACAUGCAAGUCGAGCGAACAGACGAGGAGCUUGCUCCUCUGACGUUAGCGGCGGACGGGUGAGUAACACGUGGAUAACCUACCUAUAAGACUGGGAUAACUUCGGGAAACCGGAGCUAAUACCGGAUAAUAUAUUGAACCGCAUGGUUCAAUAGUGAAAGACGGUUUUGCUGUCACUUAUAGAUGGAUCCGCGCCGCAUUAGCUAGUUGGUAAGGUAACGGCUUACCAAGGCAACGAUGCGUAGCCGACCUGAGAGGGUGAUCGGCCACACGGGAACUGAGACAAGGACCAGAGUCCUACGGGAGGCAGCAGUAGGGAAUAUUACGCAAUGGGCGAAAGCAUGACGGAGCAACGCCGCGUGAGUGAUGAAGGUCUUCGGAUCGUAAAACUCUGUUAUUAGGGAAGAACAAAUGUGUAAGUAACUAUGCACGUCUUGACGGUACCUAAUCAGAAAGCCACGGCUAACUACGUG
rnacentral:rRNA from 1 species